rnacentral:tRNA from 1 species
GGCAGAGUGCCUAAGAGCAUGGCUUCUAAAGCCAGAUGUUCUGGGUUCAAAUCCCAGCUUCACCA